rnacentral:rRNA from 1 species
CUGGCGGCGCACAUAAGACAUGCAAGUCGAACGGACUUAACUCUUCUUUAGAUUGAGAGCGGUUAGUGGCGGACUGGUGAGUAACGCGUGAGUAACCUGCCUAUUAGAGGGGAAUAACAGUGAGAAAUCACUGCUAAUACCGCAUAUGCUCACAGUACCACAUGGUACAGUGAGGAAAGGAGCAAUCCGCUAAUAGAUGGACUCGCGUCUGAUUAGCUAGUUGGUGGGGCAACGGCCUACCAAGGCGACGAUCAGUAGCCGGACUGAGAGGUUGAACGGCCACAUUGGGACUGAGAUACGGCCCAGACUCCUACGGGAGGCAGCAGUCGGGAAUAUUGCGCAAUGGAAGGAAACUCUGACGCAGUGACGCCGCGUAUAGGAAGAAGGUUUUCGGAUUGUAAACUAUUGUCGUUAGGGAAGAAAAAAGACAGUACCUAAGGAGGAAGCCCCGGCUAACUAUGUGCCAGCCGCGGC